rnacentral:rRNA from 1 species
GACGAACGCUGGCGGCGUGCUUAACACAUGCAAGUCGAACGGAAAGGCCCUGCUUUUGUGGGGUGCUCGAGUGGCGAACGGGUGAGUAACACGUGAGUAACCUGCCCUUGACUUUGGGAUAACUUCAGGAAACUGGGGCUAAUACCGGAUAGGAGCUCCUGCUGCAUGGUGGGGGUUGGAAAGUUUCGGCGGUUGGGGAUGGACUCGCGGCUUAUCAGCUUGUUGGUGGGGUAGUGGCUUACCCAGGCUUUGACGGGUAGCCGGCCUGAGAGGGUGACCGGCCACAUGGGGACUGAGAUACGGAGCAGACUGCAACGGGAGACAGCAGUGGGGAACAUUGUACAGUGGGCGGGCGCGUGAUGCGACGGCGCCGGGUGCGUGAUGCGGGCCUGUGAGUUAAAAACAGCUUCCGCCUGUGACGAAGGGUGAGUGACGGUAAUGGGUGAAGAAGCACCGGCUAACUACGUG